GCUUCAACGGUCUUCUUUGCUACCUGAUUACCUCCUAUGCUCUAUGUCAACGUUAACUUCCUAAUUCUUGAUGGGUUGAAGCGACCUUUCUUCCUUAGGGAAGAAAGGUUGCUCCCUUUCUUGCCUUUGCCAGGCCUGUGAUGUACUUGUCUGUACAGCUGACAGCUGUACAGAUCUGAGGCCACAUGCUCCCAGGUCU